UACAGAGGUCUCAAGCGUUGUUCGGAUUCAUUGGGCGUAAAGGGUGCGUAGGUGGCGGGGCAAGUCUGGUGUGAAAUCUCGGAGCUCAACUCCGAAACUGCACUGGAUACUGCCUUGCUCGAGUACUGGAGAGGAGAUUGGAAUUUACGGUGUAGCAGUGAAAUGCGUAGAUAUCUGGAGGAACACCGGUGGCGAAGGCGGCAUCCUGGACCAACACUGACACUGAUGAGCGAAAGCCAGGGGAGCAAACGGG
rnacentral:rRNA from 1 species